rnacentral:rRNA from 1 species
GACGAACGCUGGCGGCGUGCCUAAUACAUGCAAGUCGAGCGAAGUGGAGAGAGCCUGCUCUCGAAGCUUAGCGGCGAACGGGUGAGUAACACGUGGGCAACCUGCCCGAUAGACCGGGAUAACUUGGGGAAACUCAAGCUAAUACCGGAUAGGAUCAUUAACCGCCUGGUUGGUGAUGGAAAGUCUGAACGACACUAUCGGAUGGGCCCGCGGCGCAUUAGCUAGUUGGUGGGGUAACGGCCUACCAAGGCGACGAUGCGUAGCCGACCUGAGAGGGUGACCGGCCACACUGGGACUGAGACACGGCCCAGACUCCUACGGGAGGCAGCAGUAGGGAAUCUUCCACAAUGGGCGAAAGCCUGAUGGAGCAACGCCGCGUGAGUGAUGAAGGUUUUCGGAUCGUAAAACUCUGUUGUUAGGGAAGAACACCCGGGAGAGGAUCCCGGUUUGACGGUACCUGACGAGAAAGCCCCGGCUAACUACGUGCCAGCCGCCGCCGUAAAAC